AAUAUAGUCCAGUAUGUAUUGUGUGUUAUAUACUGUAUGUAUGUGUGUGUGUGUGUGUGUGCGCGCGCGCGUCUGUGUGUAGCCUAUAGUACACAAAAUAAUCAAUUAUUAUAAUUAUACACAUUAACGUAAUAACAUUAAUAAUGAUAUUAUGCAACAACAGGCAUUUACGCUUGCGUUGCUUGCUGCCCGUUUCCAUGGCAAUGGUGAAGCUCAGACUUUGGCGCACUUUUGGAUUUUGAACCGUGACGUCAAGCCGUUCUCAACCGCCAACCGCGAACUAGACAGUUUGUAAAAUGUUGCGUUUCUGAUUAUUUUCUUUUUUCGAAGAAAACGCAGUCGAAACAGGUCUAUCGAGUUACACUGAAGACACGCACAUUCACGACGAAACAUUAAUUAAGGAAGAAUGGUAUUUCUCCGAGGAAGUAAUCGUCAGCUGGCCCGCUGCGAGAAACCAGACGUCUCAGUUCUUUGCUGAGUCAGGCCUGGAUGAAAACCUGCUUAAAGAGAGAGUGCAAGCCUGGUGCUGAUGUACCCGGUAAGCUAAAUGAAGAAUUGUAAAACCGAAAAAGCUCAGAUGAUGCUGAAAAGACUGUCAGCUCAGCCUCAGUAAGUAUGCUCUUUUUGACAAUCUUUUAUAUAAAAAAAGAAAAACAGAAACAAAGACUGGACAGCAUUUAAUGCAGCAACUAAUUAAACAUAAGUCCACAAGAAAACAGGUGAAAAAUAGUAGGCUAAAUACUAAAACUGUCAAUUCCAGUUUUUCAAAACACAAUACCACAAAAGACAAUGAAUGUUUAUGCUGCUUAUGUAUCUUUUCAAGACCCUGUAAAUGAAUCAGAUCAAGAAAUGCAAAGAAGAAUAGAAGGGCUACAGGAAGAAAACAGCGGCUCAGAGAGGAACUUGAAAACUGUAAGGGAAAAAUUAGUGGACGAAGAUCUCGAGUCACGUCUUUCAGUUAUUUAUAUUUUAUCUAAACAAAAACUUCUCACAAAAUGAGGAAUAUUAUAAAGCAGUUACAAUAAAAAGUAAACAAUAUGCUCUCUAAAAAGUUGAUGCAGUUGUUAUAGAGCCAAUAUUUACCUGAUCUUAAAAUUACUUUGAUCUGUCAAUACAGUCAGGUUGAUCAUGUUAAAUAACCAGUUCAUUUAGAUGUUACCACAUAAAGUUCUCCAGUGAAGUGCAGACAUGAUGCAAGUGUUGUAAAUGGCCGCUUCAUUGAUUACACUCUGUAUAAUUUUAAACAUAGUCUGAAGUCUCUAAUAUAAUAUAUGUUUUUAUAGAAAAAUUUCAAAGCACCUUUUAUAUUUCUCUAAAUUAUUUAUAAGAUAAAAUAAAUUGUUUACAUAAAAAAUAAUUAGUUAAAAUCUUGUUUCAGAGAUUCCUGGAUUCUCAAUGAGCUGAGAAGGCUAAGGACAGAGGCAUGACCUCAAACUGAAAGUGAGAAAAAGUGAGCUGUGCUUUCCCUAUUCUCAGCCUCAGACGUCAUGCCCACGGACCGUUGGCUAAACAUCUGAUACAUAUGACACACAAAAGUGGAAACACUUCAAGAGUUUCAAUGUCGUCAUCGGACUGAUUGAAUUAUACAGGA